rnacentral:lncRNA from 1 species
AAGUCAGGGUUUGGGGCUGACCUCUUCCCUUGUUUCUCGGCACUGGGCAGCUCAGAACGCCUGGCUUAGACUUGCACUCCCUGGCCCAGUGGUGGCCCUUCCUGCACUGGGAACAAAUUCCUGGGGCAUGGCCUGCUUGCCUAUUCUCGGCACCUUUGUUCUUAGAACAAUUACUUUUAAAAUGAUCCAAAAUUCCACAUCUAAAACAUGCAUUAUUCCCUCGUUUCCGCGAGAGCAUUGCUUGUACGUAGGUCCCCUGCGAAAUUGCGCAAGACUGCCUGAUGUCCGCACAAAGACAGACAUAUCCCGCCAAAUCUGUCUGUCCCUUAUGCAGUUGAAUCAUAGCUCGGCACAUUGCGUUAGCGUUCUCAUAAGCCAAUUGCAUAAUGAAAGGACUUCCGGUGUCCGACUUUCCAAGGAUUCUACUAGCUGAAAUCAAAAGCCUGUCCAGAAAGUUUUGUUAAGGCUCAUCAGAACUCUUUUGAAUGCUAGCUAAACUUCCACCAAUAUCUCCUUUAACCGGUAACAGUCCCCAAGCACUACGUGCAGCCACCACGAUUUGCAUGUACACUGCAAUGGGAAAAUCAAUCUGAUUUGUCUGUCCCUCAUAUGGACCCUCUCCUAAAAGCAUGUUGCUUUCCCAGUCUAAAUUACCAGCCUGAGCAUUUAAAGCAGCAGUGUUCUUACUGGCGUCUUGACAUUCAGAAUCCCAAACCAAAAAAAAUCUCUUCCUGACAGGGUAGCCUUACAAAGAGUCUUCCAAUCUAGGGGGUUAAGUGUGACUCCAAGACUGUAUCUAGUAACGCUUGAGUGAAUGGGGCUGAAGGGCCAUAUUGCACAACAGCUGUUUUUAACUCCUUUAUCAACUUGAAAUCCAAAGUCUGGUAAUGUCCGACCCUAGUAUCUUGCUGUUCCAACUACCAAGAUCACAGGAAAGGCUAGCAUAGCAGACAUAUUCUGUCGUCUCCCAUGAGCCUGACUCACAGCUCUUUCUAGCAGCACCUGGUGAACUACAGAAGAGUUACUCUUAACCGGUUCUGACAUCCUUUUUAGCUCCCGAAGCUCAUUAGUCAACUUCUAAGCCUAAUUACAAACUCAAAUUUGCUUAGUUGAGUGUCCCUAUGAGUAGCACCUCCCGAGGUGGGGAUCAUAGGUGGAGUGGGAGACUCGCAAGAAGGCCAAUUCUCAUCAAAAUAAUGGGCAGCUCCUCUAUCUGAGUGUUUUUUGUUUGAAAUUAGUUCAUCAUCAGUUUCCACAUUUAUCAAUUUUAGAGUUAAGAGGACCCUUUUCUGAGAAGGCACGUUCUGAUAGGCACGCUUUCUGAGAAUCUACAAGCUCUGCCUGGGUACAAUUCGACCCUGGAGAGGUAGCAUCUUCAACAGCAUUUUUAUGAGCACCCAGAGGCCUAAGGUGAAAUUAUUUGCCUGAGUGAUUUCCAAGGCCUCACCAACUUUCUCCCAGGUUCUGCAAUCUACUGUUUCUUCUUUCUUGAACCAUGGGCAACAGCUAUCUAUCCUAUUUAAAAAAUUUCUUACCAAUUGUACUUCAGGCCCUACUCCUCUGUCCUGAAAGCUAAGGACCACCGCCUGAUCUAUAACUUCAAACCCUACCUUCUCUCACCUGAAACAGCUUCUGAAAGCUGGGGACAACUGCCUGAUUCCAGUUUCUAGUUCCGAUUAAUACGCUGCUGACCAAAACAGAGCCAGCAUUGGGUUAGUGCUGAUUCAAGCUUAUUUUGUAUCCUAUCGCACCCUCAGCAACCCUUUACAAAAUGAAAUUUUAAGCUAGCGCUAGCAUGUACCUGUUUGUUGCUCUGGUGCCCUAUACGAAGACCAUUUGCUUUUCCCAUGGAGCUCCAGACGGACAGUGUUCUCUCAAUGUUCUUCUGCCAUGUUUCAGGUCUCUGUUCAGGUGCCAAAUUGUUGCAUGCUGUCCAGUGGCUCUUGAGGAAUGGGGUAUGGCUGAAGUGGCAAACUUGAGCUAAAAGAAAAAGAACUAGAAGGACGAGAGAAAGAAUGGCGCUAAGACAAGGUUCUGAUCAAAGCUCAAUUUUACUAUUUAGUGCACCGGGUUAUGAAGAAGGAGGAAGGGGCCAAUUCCCGCCAAACCAUCCUGGAGUCCAGUUGCAGGUGACCACAUGUUUGGCUCUGGAACAGGUAGGUGGCAGGUAGCAGCAGUGGGAGUGGCAGAACUAUAGGGCUGCAGGCUCCACCCCAAAACUCUCUCAGUGCUAACAGUGAAACCUGAGCAACCAUGUUUCAGGCUGGGUGGGGCAGGUUACACCCUUCCCCUCCCCUUUGUCUAUAUGAGGUUGCUCCCCCAACUCUCCUGCCCCACUGCUCCAGCAUCCUCCUAUGCUAGGGCAUCAAACCUCCCUGAGACCAAGGGUCUCUCUUCUCAUUGCUGUCAGGCAAGGCCAUCUUCUGCUACAUAUGUAUCUGGAGUCAUGAAUCCCUCCAGGUACACUCCUUGGUUGGUGGUCUAGUCAAUGGGAGAACUGGGUGAUCAGGCCAGUCUAUGCUGCUCUUCCAAUGGAGUUGCAAUCCCCAUCCACUUUAAUUUUUUUCUUUAAACUUGCUUUGUGUUGCUUGUUUGAGGCAUAAAUUUAACAAUGUUUACAGAAGACUGUAUAACAGGAGGUAUAAAUGGGUCUUCUUCUUUAAUGUUUUCUGUCCAUAGUUCUAAACACAUUAAAUAAUUUCACUGACCAUUUACUCUUAUGACUUAUUUAUCUAUACUGCAAUAGUUAUCAAUAAUUUAGAAAUUCUUAUUGGAUUAGGAUUUCAUAAUUUUAAACUUGCUGUAAUUUCUGAAGGUCAAAAACUACAGGUUUUGCAUUGAAACUCUAUUAUAACAAAAAUAAACAUAAACCAAAAAUAUAAUCUUUGGAGAUACUGAGAACUACAGUAUCCUGAUUCUUUUGUAGCAUUGUCAUUUAAAUGUUCAUGGCUUUGUCUUCAUCAGUUAUGCUUUCAUUCUUAGAAAAAAUCAUAAAAAAACUCCAUUCUUAGUCAAACUAUUUAACAAUUUUUCUAAAAAUAAGAAAAAUAUGUAAAGAAUUCAAAUGUUUCCUUAUAUGUCUUAUUGUUACCUUUUUAUUUUCCUAAAUAAAAUUUUGAUCC